GCCUCCGAGGCCUAAUGAACGACAGAGAAGUAAGCGUUAACCGGUGCCUAUACCUCCUCCAGGCCAACUGAAUUGCCACAGCCGCCCAAGUCCUCCACCCUGGAGAGUAAUACCUUGCACUCCUCUUCACUCUUUCAUUAACAAACGUAUAUCGAAAAUGUUGUGUAACAUACUUAACAUCCUCAGCUUCCAGGCCAAAUGCCUCGGUAGUUUCAAGAGUUACGAGUGUUGAAGAAGAGGGUGGGAGUCUCUCGAUGAAGGGUCUCCGCAGACACCAUGACAAGAGCUCGUCGCCACUGAAAUUUCCAGGGCCAAGCAUGCAGCAACUU
rnacentral:lncRNA from 1 species